CCGUAGCCCAAGAGAUCGGGAUAACACCUGGAAACAGAUGCUAAUACCGGAUAACAAUAGAUGAUGCCUAUCAACUGUUUAAAAGAUGGUUCUGCUAUCACUCUUGGAUGGACCUGCGGUGCAUUAGCUAGUUGGUAGGGUAACGGCCUACCAAGGCGAUGAUGCAUAGCCGAGUUGAGAGACUGAUCGGCCACAUUGGGACUGAGACACGGCCCAAACUCCUACGGGAGGCAGCCAGCU
rnacentral:rRNA from 1 species